rnacentral:rRNA from 1 species
AUGCAGCAACGCCGCGUGAGUGAUGAAGGCCUUCGGGUCGUAAAACUCUGUCCUCAAGGAAGAUAAUGACGGUACUGAGGAGGAAGCCCCGGCUAACUACGUGCCAGCAGCCGCGGUAAUACGUAGGGGGCUAGCGUUAUCCGGAUUUACUGGGCGUAAAGGGUGCGUAGGCGGUCUUUCAAGUCAGGAGUGAAAGGCUACGGCUCAACCGUAGUAAGCUCUUGAAACUGGGAGACUUGAGUGCAGGAGAGGAGAGUGGAAUUCCUAGUGUAGCGGUGAAAUGCGUAGAUAUUAGGAGGAACACCAGUUGCGAAGGCGGCUCUCUGGACUGUAACUGACGCUGAGGCACGAAAGCGUGGGGAGCAAACAGGAUUAGAUACCCUGGUAGUCCACGCUGUAAACGAUGAGUACUAGGUGUCGGGGGUUACCCCCUUCG